AGCGAACGCCGGCGGCAGGCCUAACACAUGCAAGUCGAACGAACUCUUCGGAGUUAGUGGCGGACGGGUGAGUAACACGUGGGAACGUGCCUUUAGGUUCGGAAUAACUCAGGGAAACUUGUGCUAAUACCGAAUGGGCCCUUCGGGGGAAAGAUUUAUCGCCUUUAGAGCGGCCCGCGUCUGAUUAGCUAGUUGUGUAGGUAAUGGCUCACCAAGGCGACGAUCAGUAGCUGGUCUGAGAGGAUGAUCAGCCACAUUGGGACUGAGACACGGCCCAAACUCCUACGGGAGGCAGCAGUGGGGGAUCUUGCGCAAUGGGCGAAAGCCUGACGCAGCCAUGCCGCGUGAAUGAUGAAGGUCUUAGGAUUGUAAAAUUCUUUCACCGGGGACGAUAAUGACGGUACCCGGAGAAGAAGCCCCGGCUAACUUCGUG
rnacentral:rRNA from 1 species